rfam:Triticum aestivum genome assembly, contig: Triticum_aestivum_CS42_TGACv1_scaffold_130682_2BL
CUACUACUCCCUCCGUUUGGAAUUACUUGUCUCGGAAAUGAUGUAUCUGGAAUUAAAAUAUAUCCAGAGACAUCCAUUUCCGAGACAAGUAAUUCCGAACGGAGGGAGUACCAG